GGAGGCUUUAGAGAAAAAUAAUCGAAAGUCAUCUAUCGAAGAAUAUGACAAAAGCCUCGCAUCAAGGCGCCCGAAAAAAUUGUCUGUAGACAGACGAGAUUUGUUGUCAAUGGCUACGCGAGCAAAUGCGAAUAGUUUGGAUGAUCUACUAAAUAACACAAAUUAUGAC